UGGGGAAUCUUGGACAAUGGGCGCAAGCCUGAUCCAGCCAUGCCGCGUGGAUGAUGAAGGCCCUAGGGUUGUAAAAUCCUUUCGUUGGGGACGAUAAUGACGGUACCCAAAGAAGAAGCUCCGGCUAACUUCGUGCCAGCAGCCGCGGUAAUACGAAGGGGGCUAGCGUUGUUCGGAUUUACUGGGCGUAAAGCGCGUGUAGGCGGGUCGUUAAGUUGGGGGUGAAAUCCCGAGGCUCAACCUCGGAACUGCCUUCAAAACUGGCGACCUGGACUCAAGUAGAGGCAAGUGGAAUUGCGAGUGUAGAGGUGAAAUUCGUAGAUAUUCGCAGGAACACCAGUGGCGAAGGCGACUUGCUGGACUUGUAGUGACGCUGAGGUGCGAAAGCAUGGGGAUCAAACAGGAUUAGAUACCCACGUAGUCCCUGAGCGGGCUGGCAAGGCGCAU
rnacentral:rRNA from 1 species